rnacentral:RNase_P_RNA from 1 species
CGGGCUGGCUAGACAGCCGCGGGCGCCGGAGAGAAAACCGGCGUUCGAGGAAAGUCCGGACACCGCAGGGCGGGGUGGUCGGGAGAUCCGACCCGGGGAAACCCGCGGGAAAGUGCCACAGAAAAGACACCGCCUAAGCGGCGGGGCUCACUGGGCCCGCAGCAGCCGGCUCGGCCGGCUGCGCCGGGAUCAUCUGCCCUCGUCGCCGGCAAGGGUGAAAUGGUGCGGUAAGAGCGCACCGGCGGCGCGGUGACGCGUCGGCCAGGCAAACCCCACCCGGUGCAAGGCCAAGCAGGGACGACGACGCUGCCCGCCGAGUC